rnacentral:lncRNA from 1 species
GGGCGCUCGCGCCUCCACUCCCUGCUCUCAAAGGAGAGAUCAGCUGGCGCGCCGGACCCUCGCGGGGACUCUGGAGGCGAAAUCCAGGACAAAUGCAGGGUCAGGGUCUGGCCUCUUAUUUCCCCGCUGGGCCCGUUAUUCAACUUUCAGUUUGAAGUUUUUCGCUCAGAGGCAGGCGAUUAGCAGCUCAGAGGAAGGUAAAAUAACGCACUGUGUGAACCAAGCAUACAGGACAAUUCCAGUUUGGGACCUUGGAACCUUCUACGCCACCCUCUUCCACCAGGCCCCCAAGAAGUAGGGCUGUGACACGUGGCCAAGUCACUCCUCAGCUGAAUAUUCACUGAAGUCACUCCUCAGCCGAAAUACUGCUCAGAGCUGCUGCACGAUGAGUCUGGGGCCAAGGCUUUCUGCCCUUCCCAGGAUUCCAGGAGCCCCCAUGCACAGCACCUCGGGCUUGCCCAAAUGAUCCCCAAAACCAAGGGCAGAAAAUUUUUGGAAAAGGCCAAGUUCUGCUUUCCCAGAGCUAUCGGGCCUGCGAAACAGAGAGAAAAAAGUCAGAAGCAGGAGCUGAUUUCAAAAACAAAACAAAACAAAACUUCAAUGAGAUUUAAGUAGCUUUUAAAGAGGAGGAAAAGUUGAUAACUAUUGGAUGCACCCGAAGAAAAAAUAAAUAAAUAUCCUGUGAUGACCUCAAGGAUGUCUUGCAGCUUUAGAACUUCAUAACCUGAGAUGGCUGCCCUCUUGUGGUGGAAAUGAGUUCGAACGCUUGAAAGAAAGAAGUCCAUAAAUAAAUAAAUAAAUAAAUAA